rnacentral:rRNA from 1 species
UACGGGGGGGGCAAGCGUUGUUCGGAAUUACUGGGCGUAAAGGGUUUGUAGGUGGCUUGCUAAGUCAGACGUGAAAUCCCUCAGCUUAACUGGGGAACUGCGUCUGAGACUGGCAAGCUCGAGUGCAGGAGAGGAACGCGGAAUUCCAGGUGUAGCGGUGAAAUGCGUAGAUAUCUGGAGGAGCACCGGUGGCGAAGGCGGCGUUCUGGACUGCAACUGACACUGAAAAACGAAAGCCAGGGGAGCAAACGGG